GGUUUCUCAGUUUCUAUAUGCAGAAAAACACGAAAUGUCAAAUGGCAUGCAUGAUAGAUUAAAAUAAAUAUUAUGCAUGAUAGAUAAUAGAAAAAAGUUAAUUUGACGCUGCAUCUAUAUAUAUUCGGAUUCAAAAGAAAUGAUCAAGACUGUUAUGAAUAGAAUAGCUUUUUGAUAUUGCAUGAUAUAUACAAAUUAAAGAAACAAGGUGAUAUAUAAAUAUACAUAUAUUUAUAUGUAUCUAACGUUUUUCCUAACAAGACUGAAAGUAGCGAUAGUAUAUACUUCUCUUUGGUAAUUAAUUGUAAAGAUGAAAUUUAAAAAAAAUAUAGAGUAGGAGAAAGAAACUAGUAUGUAUUACGUUUAAUGCGCCAAGCCUUGAGCUAAUGUUAAGGAUGCGUCCCACGGAGACCGACCGGCGAAAUAACGGCAAAAGCGCCUCCGUUAAAAGCUUGGCACCGUAGUAAUUGGUCUUGAUUAUUGUCUCUGGCUCUCUGAUUGAGUUCUCGCCGACCGCGUUAAAUGAAACAGCCGCGUUGUUCACCUGAGCCCAAAAAAAAUGAUUAUUGCCCUCAUCAUACUAUCAAAAUUUCCCAAAAUUCAAACACAGUGUAAACUUAUAUAAUUACUAUAUAAUAUAUUAUGAUGAAAUCUUUUUCAAGAGAAAAUUGUGGGUUGUUAUACCUUUUAGUCUGCGUUAAAAA